AUUGAACGCUGGCGGCAGGCCUAACACAUGCAAGUCGAGCGGAGCGUCGGACGCGUGCGUCAUGCCUAGGCAUCUGCCUGGUCGCCGGGGAUACCGUCCGGUUACGGGCGCUACUACCACAUCCUAUCAGCUGAGCCUAGGUCGGAUUAGCUGGUUGGUGGGGUAAAGGCCUACCAAGGCGCCGAUCGGUUACUGGUCUGGGAUGUUGAUCAGUCACACUGGGACUGGAGCACGGUCCCGACUCCUACGGGAAGCAGCUGUGGGGAAUAUUUGACAAUGGGCGAGAGCCCGAACCCACCCUUCCGCGUGUGUGAAGAAAGUCUUCCGGUUGUAAAGCACUUUAAGGUGGGAGGCGUUACCCACAGAAUAAGCACCGGCUAACUUCGUGCCAGCAGCCGCGGUAAUAC
rnacentral:rRNA from 1 species